GGCAAAGGAAGUGGUAAGGCCAUAGCAUUCGUUUUUUACUUGUUUCAUUCUAUGCAAUAAUAUAUACCAAGACAUUAGAAAAAAACAUGUCAGUAAUUAUUAUGUUCUAACAUUUAUUUAAAAAUAACUACAAUGCAAUGACACCCUAGAGACACAAAUCUCACAUGUCAGAUUCAAAAGGAGUUUGCAGUUCAAAAGGACCCAUUCUGUGGAACCCAGAAGUCCAAAUUCUUCUGCAUCCCAGCUGGCAAAAAUGAUAGUUCUUCUAGGUCUCCAGCCUAUUAAGUUAUUCCUCACUGGUGGCAACAAUGAUUGGGAAUUUGCCCUUAUGUCUUGUCAUUUGAUAAUAUCGGUAAAUGAAUUACUGGAUUAUCAAGUUUUCUGUGAGGUAAGACGUGA